GUAGACCUACUCCCUCCGCCGUCCCCUUCCCCAAUACUGUCUCGGCGGCGGCGGCCUUGGCCCAUAGCCUCCGCGUGGAUCCAAGAUCAACAGCGCCGUCCUCGUCGCUCGCCAAGGCGGCCAAGUUCAGCACGCGGUUCUCGGAGUGGUGCCUGGAUGUAGUCGCGGCGCCGUCCGUGUCGAUUUGGCGGUGGUGCAGGCGGUGGUAGGAGGCCAACGAAAUGGUUCUUUGAGGUCAAACGGAAGGAGUUGAUGGGAGGCGUCGCCGGCGCGUGUUUCGGUGAUUGUGGGCGCGUCCCCUGCUCCUCCGAUUGCGAGCUGCAGGUAAUCCUGCACACAGAUCCAAUGCUGAACAUGACAUCUGACUACAAUGAGCCCCUGCCUUGAUAUUCACAUCUUGUAGAAAGGAUCACAUGACUUUUAGAUUGGAAGACCAAGUUGAGGUGUGAAUUCCCAACCUCUAUUGUUCUACCCAUUGGAGCACAUGACUAUUA